AGGAUGAACGCUGGCGGCGUGCCUAACACAUGCAAGUCGAACGUCCUGUCUCGCAAGAGGCAGGGAGUGGCGGACGGGUGAGUACCACGUGGGUCAUCUACCGUGAGGUGAGGAAUACCGGCGAGAAAUCGCCGACAAGACCGCAUAGGCUCGAUGCAAGUCGAGCAAAGCUCUUUCGAGAGAGGGAGCGCCACACGAGGAGCCUGCGCCCGAUUAGCUGGCUGGUGGAGUAACGGUUCACCAGGGCGACGAUCGGUAGCUGGUCUGAGAGGACGAUCAGCCACACUGGGAUUGAGAACGGCCCAGACUCCUACGGGGGCAGCAGUGAGGAAUUUUCGUCAAUGGGGGCAACCCUGAAUGAGCAACGCCGCGUGCAGGAGAAGGUUUCGGAUCGUAAACUGCUUUCUCGGGAAGAGAACGGACGGUACCCGAGGAAUCAGCCCCGGCUAACUACGUGCCAGCAGCCGC
rnacentral:rRNA from 1 species